UUUUCAAAAAUCAUUUUAUAGAACGUUACCAAGGUCCCUAAGAUUCCAGAAUACUGAAUCGUCUUUGUAAGGUGAGAAUUGGUAAAAGCAAGUCCAUAACAAAACAUUCAACAUUCGGGAGAAGAGCUACACAAAAGGCAUACUUUCCCCCACGCCACGCACAUCUUCCCCUUGAGUUUUGGCCAAAAUUUUUAUCUAACAUAUUAUAAUGCCAGUAACACAUCUAAUCGCUCCAUGGAUCACUCUCUGUCCUCACUUCUGAUGCUUCAACUACUUGUGCUUCCACCGCUUCAGCGGCAUUCGCAUCGGAUUCUGCCCCAUUAGUACCGUCGGCCACCUCCUCAUCUUCCAAUCUACCCCAUCUUCCCCCGAGGGCCAUUGCCAUCAUCUCGUAUAUCUUGUUUCCCAAAUCAGCUGGGCUGUCGGGCUGCGUCAUUGAAGAAAGAAGUAAGAACAUAAAGUUACUGUUAAACUAUCACAUUACAACAACGGAAGAAACAAAUGCUUGCAGCUCACCGUGAAUCCACUGGAGAUCAAUGCUGUGUCAUACAAGAGUUCUACAGCUCUCUUGGCAUCAGUGCUGUCAGGGGCAUUCUUGCAAGCAGCCUGCAAUGGUCAAUCCAUAUAUAAGUCCAGUACUUCAGUCGUGAAUAGUUCUAGUGACACGACACGAAGGUGUGUAGUUUUUUGUUCUCUCUCACGUUUUUAUGCACCUCUCCCAGUUAGCAGAGUUAAAUUAGUGUUUCGGAAGAGAACAUUCGUGAUCUUACCUUUAG
rnacentral:lncRNA from 1 species